rnacentral:rRNA from 1 species
UACAGAGGGUGCGAGCGUUGUUCGGAAUUAUUGGGCGUAAAGGGUGCGUAGGCGGUCGGGUAAGUCUGUCGUGAAAUCUCCGAGCCCAACUCGGAGACUGCGUCGGAUACUAUUCGGCUAGAGGAAUGGAGGGGAGACUGGAAUUCUCGGUGUAGCAGUGAAAUGCGUAGAUAUCGAGAGGAACACCAGUGGCGAAGGCGAGUCUCUGGACAUUUCCUGACGCUGAGCCACGAAAGCCAGGGGAGCAAACGGG